rnacentral:tRNA from 1 species
ACUAUUUUGACAGAUAAAUGUGUUGAAUUUAGAAUUCAUGAAUAUAUAAUUAAAUUAUAUAUAUAGUA